AGCGAACGCUGGCGGCAGGCUUAACACAUGCAAGUCGAGCGGGCAUCCUUGUGGUGUCAGCGGCAGACGGGUGAGUAACGCGUGGGAACGUGCCCUUCGGUUCGGAAUAACUCAGGGAAACUUGAGCUAAUACCGGAUACGUGCGAGAGCAGAAAGGUUUAUCUGCCGAAGGAUCGGCCCGCGUCUGAUUAGCUAGUUGGUGAGGUUAUGGCUCACCAAGGCGACGAUCAGUAGCUGGUCUGAGAGGAUGAUCAGCCACACUGGGACUGAGACACGGCCCAGACUCCUACGGGAGGCAGCAGUGGGGAAUAUUGGACAAUGGGGGCAACCCUGAUCCAGCCAUGCCGCGUGAGUGAUGACGGCCUUAGGGUUGUAAAGCUCUUUUCUCCGGGACGAUAAUGACGGUACCGGAGGAAUAAGCCCCGGCUAACUUCG
rnacentral:rRNA from 1 species